AAGGCCAAUGAUGACACAUUCUCACCGUGAAUGAUUUGUAUGAUUAUUUAAUACAUGCACUACCAACUGAGGCCUA